rnacentral:rRNA from 1 species
UACGGGGGGGGCAAGCGUUGUUCGGAAUUACUGGGCGUAAAGGGCUGGUAGGCGGCCAACUAAGUCCGACGUGAAAUCCCAAGGCUUAACCUUGGAACUGCGUCGGAUACUGGAUGGCUUGAAUUCGGGAGAGGGAUGCGGAAUUCCUGGUGUAGCGGUGAAAUGCGCAGAUAUCAGGAGGAACACCAAUGGCGAAGGCAGCUCGCUGGGACGGUACUGACGCUGAGACGCGAAAGCGUGGGGAGCAAACAGG